UAAAGACUGCACACCCCCCAUUUCCAAACUAUAGACACAAACGCAGUAUCCCAGGAUGUUCAUAGCACUGAAGUUGGUAAUAGAGGAGAAGCCCAGUGCUCAGUCACCUCUGUCAGUAGGGAAAGUAUGAUCUGUUUGCACAGUGCUGUGCUACUGAAGAAGAGAGAGAGAGAAUGAGAACCCUGCCACGCGCAUCAGUGUAGACAAACUGCAAAUGUAUUGUUAACAAAG
rnacentral:lncRNA from 1 species